UUGGGGAUAUAGCUCAGUUGGUAGAGUGCUUGCUCACGUGCACAAGGCCCUGGGUUCAAUCCCCAGCACCAAA
rnacentral:tRNA from 1 species